GUUUACCGCUAAGGGAUGGGGAUGCGUCUGAUUAGGUUGUUGGCGGGGUAACGGCCCACCAAGCCCACGAUCAGUAGGGGUUCUGAGAGGAAGGUCCCCCACAUUGGAACUGAGACACGGUCCAAACUCCUACGGGAGGCAGCAGUGAGGAAUAUUGGUCAAUGGACGGAAGUCUGAACCAGCCAAGUAGCGUGCAGGAUGACGGCCCUAUGGGUUGUAAACUGCUUUUGUACGGGAAUAAAGUGCGGGACGUGUCCCGUUUUGUAUGUACCGUAAGAAUAAGGACCGGCUAAUUCCGUGCCAGCAGCCGCGGUAAUACGGAAGGUCCGGGCGUUAUCCGGAUUUAUUGGGUUUAAAGGGAGCGCAGGCUGGAGAUUAAGCGUGACGUGAAAUGCCGCGGCUCAACCGUGGAAGUGCGUCGCGAACUGGUUUCCUUGAGUGUAUUCGACGUCAGCGGAAUUCGUGGUGUAGCGGUGAAAUGCUUAGAUAUCACGAAGAACUCCGAUUGCGAAGGCAGCUGGCGAGGCUAUAACUGACGCUAAAGCUCGAAGGUGCGGGUAUCGAACAGGAUUAGAUACCC
rnacentral:rRNA from 1 species